AUGAGCCUGCAUGUCAGCCAAACACUGCCACUGCACCGCCUGAAUCUUGUUCUUUCAACAGCCUCAAACUCUGUGGUCACUUUUUUCGAUGUUAUAAAUUCACUGCACCAUUUCAUGACCGGAGCCAACAGACACACAUGGUUUCUACAGAUCCAAAAAGAGCUACACCCCGACAAACCCUGUCUAGAGCUUGUGCACUCCACGGAUAUUAGAUGGAGUUCAAAAUCUGAGUCUGUGAGUCGAGUCUUAAAGUUGUACGACGUCAUAUUGGAAACACUGAGUGAGUUUGCAGAAGGCUCAGGCCUGACCAAAACAAAUGCAGAGUCUCUUUUGCAACAAAUACAGACCAAGAGGUUCAUCUUUCUCCUUGUUGCAUUUUCUAAGCUGUUUGGUGCAAAUGAAUUUGUGACAAAAGGCCUACAGUCCCUAUCUGUUUCUUUUACUGACUCUGUCCACAUGAUUGAGGCUUUAAAAGAAACUUUUAAUACAUUUAGGAAUAACUCAGAUGGGGAAUUUGAGAGAAUCAUUGGGCUUACUGAUGACAUCAUGAAGAAGAACGAUGUGCACAACUGGGACAUAGUGGCUGCAAAUAACAAAAAAUUACCUACCAGGCUUCCCGACUCGCAUGUGACCUCUACAGUGGGCAGGUGUGCGCCCAUUAGGAGUGACUUAAAUUUGCAAACCUUCUUGACAGACAGCCAAUGGAACUUAACUGUUUUCAGAGUGACUCCUGGAAUAAUGAAGGCUGCUACCUCCUUGCUGCCCGGAUCUGACGCGUUUGGCCAGAUGGAAAUUUUACAGGGACCGAGCAAGCACUAUGGACUUGGAGUGGAAGGUCCUGAAUUUACAGUAUUUGUGCAACUGCUCAAACAAACGGUGGAUGGGGGUCACCUGUACCCAUCCUCAUUUGAAGUCUUAGGCUACAUUCACACUGCAGGGCUUAAUGCUCAAUUCCGAUUUUUGAAAAAAAUUAGAUUUUUUAGCAAGGCCGUUCACAUUUCCAAUUAA
rnacentral:lncRNA from 1 species